UGGGAGCUUGCUCCCUGAUGUUAGCGGCGGACGGGUGAGUAACACGUGGGUAACCUGCCUGUAAGACUGGGAUAACUCCGGGAAACCGGGGCUAAUACCGGAUGCUUGUUUGAACCGCAUGGUUCAAACAUAAAAGGUGGCUUCGGCUACCACUUACAGAUGGACCCGCGGCGCAUUAGCUAGUUGGUGAGGUAAUGGCUCACCAAGGCAACGAUGCGUAGCCGACCUGAGAGGGUGAUCGGCCACACUGGGACUGAGACACGGCCCAGACUCCUACGGGAGGCAGCAGUAGGGAAUCUUCCGCAAUGGACGAAAGUCUGACGGAGCAACGCCGCGUGAGUGAUGAAGGUUUUCGGAUCGUAAAGCUCUGUUGUUAGGGAAGAACAAGUACCGUUCGAAUAGGGCGGUACCUUGACGGUACCUAACCAGAAAGCCACGGCUAACUACGUGCCAGCAGCCGCGGUAAUACGUAGGUGGCAAGCGUUGUCCGGAAUUAUUGGGCGUAAAGGGCUCGCAGGCGGUUUCUUAAGUCUGAUGUGAAAGCCCCCGGCUCAACCGGGGAGGGUCAUUGGAAACUGGGGAACUUGAGUGCAGAAGAGGAGAGUGGAAUUCCACGUGUAGCGGUGAAAUGCGUAGAGAUGUGGAGGAACACCAGUGGCGAAGGCGACUCUCUGGUCUGUAACUGACGCUGAGGAGCGAAAGCGUGGGGAGCGAACAGGAUUAGAUACCCUGGUAGUCCACGCCGUAAACGAUGAGUGCUAAUGGUUAGGGGGGUUUCCGCCCCUUAGUGCUGCAGCUAA
rnacentral:rRNA from 1 species